rnacentral:lncRNA from 1 species
AAAGAAUUUUGUGCUAGUCCUUCUGUUUAUCUUUACUGUUUCUUCGUGCCUAUAAGUAUCAGGACAUUACCGAUGAAUCUUCUCUUGAGCUUGGUAUGGAACCAUGCAUUGUAUUAUGUGGUGGCUCUAACAAUACUAUAAAAAUAUAUCUAGAACAGGAACCUGUUACGGAAAAAUGUGACUCAUUUGGAAGAGUAUUGCAUUGCUUAAUUGCACUUUAUUUUGUCUUUAAUUUGGAAUAACCCAAAGAAGCAUCCUGCAUUUUCGAGUUCCUCCAAAGAUAUAUUUCAAAAAUACACCCCGAAGCAGGAACCAAAUCGAAAAAACAAAAUCUUUCGAAAAGAAAAGUUAUUUCAUAUUUAACGAAGUUAACCAAGAUAGAAUAAUAAAUUAUUAUUUUAUUAAAUAAUUAUUUAUAAAUUAUUAUAUAUUUUUUUUUGAGUCCAUAAAUGUUAAAUGAAUUUGUUCCAACCUUAAAGGGUUUUUUUUUGGGAGAUUUAGCUUGUAAGUAGGUACCUAGAUUAACAUAUUUGAUAUUAUAUGGGGCCCCAAAAUGUAUAUAGACUAUGUCAAUGUUCUUGGCUACUUUAAGAGUUUUAAGAGUUUAUGUUUUUGUUUGUAUAUUGAAGAGUUUAAGUUUCAAAUAUACUUGUUAUUUUCCUUUUUUUUUUUUGAAAACUUACCAUGUAGUUUUGUUAUGUUCCUACUGAGUUUAUUGAA